rnacentral:rRNA from 1 species
CCUACGGGGCGCAGCAGGCGCGAAACCUUCACAAUGUGCGAAAGCACGAUGAGGGGAUCCCAAGUGCUUGCUCGUAAGAGUAAGCUGUUUCUUUGUCUAAAAAGCAUAGAGAGUAAGGGCUGGGUAAGACGGGUGCCAGCAGCCGCGGUAA